CACUCAGGAGGCAGAGGUGGCUGGAUCCUUGUGAGUUCCAGGUUAGCCUGGUCUACAUAAUGAGCUACGGAAGUACAGAUGAGCAGCACACUUAAUUUGUUUGUUUGUUUGUUUGUUUGUUUGUUUUCCAAGACAUGGUUUCUCUGGAUAGCGCUGGCUGUCCUGGAACUCACUUUGUAGACCAGGCUGGCCUCGAACUCAGAAAUCUGCCUGCCUCUGCCUCCCGAGUGCUGGGAUUACACCACGUCAGCGAGCAGCACACUUGAAAUGAUACUUCCUGCCCCUUCCAUGCAAAUCAAUCCCUACGGAUUUGGUCCCAGAAAUUUCUUUCUUGGCACCACAUAGAAAAGAGCUGAGCUGGAUGGAGUGGACAUUCUAUACAUUUUAAGUUUUUCUUUAAGUCCAUAUAAGUAAAAGACAUAAAGGGGAGCGGAAGAGAUCUGGUGGAUUCACUGACUGGGGGCGGGGCAUCGGGCCUUACACUCUAGCUCCCGCUGGCCUCUGUAGCCCAGAUUGGCCCGGAAUCCCUGGCAAUACUCCCAUGACUGGAAAUCCCCGGGUGUAUUGGGAUUGCAGGAGGAGCUGCCAUGCCCAGCAGAGGAACGGGACUUAACAUGAUUUCAAACGCCUUUGAAGGUUUGAUGGGCAUGCGCCAUGUGAGCUUAAACUGCCGCGCAAGCCUUUUCAACGGGAUGGAAUCCGGGGCUUUCCCACGGCAUCUCACACUAUCCUUUCACGGAGAUUAGAGGUUGCUCCCUGGGGCAGGAAAGGGGCUUCCAGAGGCAGAUACUCACAAGUCACUGCUGCCUUCUAGUCUCCUCUGGCUGUCUGCUUGGUCCCUGGACCUGUCCCUAAACCAACCAGUUACACAGCCUUCUAAUUGUGGAGAUACGGCGU
rnacentral:lncRNA from 1 species